GAACUUUGUUUUUACUAUCUGAAGCAUUGAAAAUAGAAUCAUUUUGAUAACUGUUGCUUAUCCAUUUAUUUUUUCCUUGUUUAAAUCAUUCUGUUUGGAUUCAUUAGCAUAUCAAUCAUGUCUGCAUCAGAAGCAAGAAUCCGUGUGAAUGGCUCAAUGCUGCCCAGGUUCAGUGGUAAAGGUGUUGUCAUUCUUGGAAAAAUUUCUAGAGUUGAUCCCAAUGGGAUGUCAGUGACUCUGAGAACCAGUGAUGGCAUGACUGUCAAUGUUGUGUUUGAUCAACCUGUCAUGGAGAAUUUGG
rnacentral:lncRNA from 1 species